GCACCCAUAGCUCAGUUGGUAGAGCAGCUCCCUCUUAAGGAGAUUGUCGCAGGUUCGAAUCCUGCUGGGUGCACAA
rnacentral:tRNA from 1 species